rnacentral:rRNA from 1 species
GGUUUCACCUGUGCAUCCCAUUGAACGUUAAGUAAAAACAGGCUUCCUGCUCAGCUCUCUUUACGAAAUGCCAAAUUGUUGCAGACCUACGAAUGAAUAGAAAGUAACACCGCAGGUAUACAGGAAAAUGAUGCAAUGCCUCUUAUGUAUACUGGCGCUGGAUCUUGGGUGCAUAAAACUUAAACGCAGCAGACAUUCAGGGGAGUGGGAGCCAACUUUAGUUGCCCGUAUAUGACCGACUCUGGUGUACAAAUGCUUCUUAAUCUGUACUGAGAGUAUACAAUAACAGAUAAACCAUCACUCCUAAACCUCCAUUACUUUAUUUAAUCCCGCUGGUGGACACACAUUUCACCCUGCCAGCAAAUGAAAGCACUGGUUUGCUAUAGGUCUUUCGCGGACUGUUAUUGAGCCUCGGGCUUCCAGAGGUUCGGUUGCCUGCCGAGGAGUGUUCUUUUGCGCGUGCGGCGGCUCCACUUUCGAGGACCGCCGCUCCGCGAUGCUGUCUCUAACAGUUUCAACCGACCCGUCUUGAAACACGGACCAAGGAGUCUAACAUACGUGCGAGUAUGCGGGUGGAAGCCCUGUAUGCGCAAUGAGAGUGAGAGUAGGGAGAGGUUCGUGUUUUUGCGUUCCUCGCACCUACGACCGACCACUUUCUGUUAGUAGGUUUGAGUUGUAGCACGUCUGUUAGGACCCGAAAGAUGGUGAACUAUGCCUGAGUAGGGUGAAGUCAGGCGAAAGCCUGAUGGAGGCUCGUAGCGAUAAUGACGUGCAAAUUGUUCGUCAAACUUGGGUAUAGGGGCGAAAGACUAAUCGAACCGUCUAGUAGCUGGUUUCUUCCGAAGUUUCUCUCAGAAUAGCUGGAGUUCAAUUAGUUUUAUCAGGUAAAGCGAAUGAUUAGAGGCCUCGUGGGCGCAGCGCCCUGGACCUAUUCUCAAACUUUAAAUGGGUAAGAUCCAGUGGUUGCUUUGUUGAACUGCUGGGGUUAAUAUGAACUCCAAGUGGGCCAUUUUUGGUAAGCAGAACUGGCGAUGAGGGAUGCUCCUAACGCUUGGUUAAGGUGCCCAAAUACUCGCUCAUCAGAUACCAUGAAAGGUGUUGGUUUAUUUUGACAGCAGGACGGUGGUCAUGGAAGUCGAAACCCGCUAAGGAGUGUGUAACAACCCACCUGCCAAAUGAAUUAGCCCUGAAAAUAGAUGGCGCUGCAGCAAGGUACCGAUACCAGGCCAUCACCGCAAGUGUGCGAGCACUGGACUUUGCGCGGUGAUGAGUAGGAAGACGUGGAGAUCGUGAAGAAGCGUUUGGCGUAAGCCUGCGUGGAACGGUCUCUAGUGCAGACCUUGGUGGCAGUAGCAAAUAUUCAAAUGAGAACUUUGGAGACUGAAGUGGAGAAGGGUUCCAUGUGAACAGCAAUUGGACAUGGGUUAGCCGGUCCUAAGCGACAGCUUAACUGCGCAUAAGGGCGGCUUCACCGCCGCCUGGGCGCGAAAGAGAAUCAGGAUAAUAUUCCUGAGCCAGGACGUGGAUACUGUACGGUAACGUGAGUGAACUCCUCGACGCAGGCGGGUGCCCCGGGAAGCGUUGUCUUUGCUCCUUAACAGCCUCCUCUACAUACCCUGGAAUCAGAUUAUCUGGAGAUAGGGUUGACUGGCUGGUAAAGCUUCCUGGCCUUCAGGAAGUCCGGUGCGCUCCCGACUGCCCCUGAAAAGAGGAGGGAAAGUCGUUAUUUGCACCCUGGCCGUACCAUUAACUGCAUCAGAUCUCCAAGGCCAGCAGCCUCUGGUCGAGAGAAGAAAGUAGAUAAGGGAAGUCGGCAAAAUGGAUCCGUAACUUCGGGAAAGGGAUUGGCUCUGAGGGCUGGGUGCAUAGCGCCAGUGCGUCCUCCGCGUGUCGGAGCUGCGCGGGCCCUUUCGUGCCUCGCGGCGCGUCUGCGGACUGCCGGCACUGACCGCGGAGCGACCGCUGGUCUUGCGUGCACAGUGAACAGCCAACUCAGAACUGGAGAGGACAAGGGGAAUCCGACUGUUUAAUUAAAACAAAGCGUUGCGAUGGCCGCAAACGGUGUUGACGCAACGUGAUUUCUGCCCAGUGCUCUGAAUGUCAAUGUGAUGAAAUUCAAUCAAGCGCGGGUUAACGGCGGACGUAACUAUGACGUUCUUGAGGUAGCCAAAUGCCUCGUCAUCUAAUUAGUGACGUGCAUGAAUGGAUUAACGAGAUUCCCACUGUCCCUACUAUCUAGUGAAACCACAGCCAGGGGAACGGGCUUGGCGGAAUCAGCGGGGAAAGAAGACCCUGUUGAGCUUGACUCUAGUCCGACUUUGUGGAACGACUUGAGGGGUGUAGCAUAGGUGGGAGCUUCGGCGAUCUUGAAAUACCACUACCCUCAGUGUCGUUUUACUUAUUCCGUCGAGUUGAGACGCAUGCUUGCAUGUGUUUUUGCCUUAAGGCGCCUUCGCGCGCUGAUCAAUGCGGAAGACAUAGUCAGGUGGGGAGUUUGGCUGGGGCGGCACAUCUGUGAAACAAUAGCGCAGGUGUCCUAAGGCAAGCUCAAUGAGAACAGAAAUCUCAUGUUGACCAAAAGGGGAAAAGCUUGCUUGAUUUUGAUUCUCAGUACGAAUACAAACUGUGAAAGCAUGGCCUAUCGAUCCUUUAGGACUGAGAAACUUUCAGCUAGAGGUGUCAGAAAAGUUGC